UAAAGGAUGGCAUGGGAGGCUCUUAAUAAGAGUAUUAAUGAUCUGAUUAACAAGGUUAAUGUGUCAAAUAUUGCCAACAUUGCUAGAUAGUCAGUACAAGAAAAUUUAGUCUGUGGGCGAGGAUAAUUUGCACUUGCAGUCAUUACAGCUCAGUCGGCCUCACCCACCUUUACUAAGGUGUAUGCUACACUUGUUGCUGUCAUUAAUCAUUUGCAAGAAACAACAAGAUUAUUUGUUUGUCGUCUGUCAGUGACUGUAUUACUGGAAGAUCCUACGAGCUACUGGACAACU